rnacentral:rRNA from 1 species
AUUGAACGCUGGCGGCAUGCCUAACACAUGCAAGUCGAGCGAGCGGCGGACGGGUGAGUAAUGUCUGGGAAACUCCCUGAUGGAGGGGGAUAACUACUGGAAAAGGUAGCUCAUACCGCAUACCAUCCGAUGUGCCCAGAUGGGAUUAGCAGGUAGGUGGGGUAACGGCUCACAUAGGCGACGAUCCCUAGCUGUUCUGAGAGGAGAACCAGCAACAAUGGAACUGAGAAACGCGCAAACCGCCUACGGGAGGCAGAGUGGGGGAUGAUGGGAAAAUGGGGGGAAGCUUGAUGCAGAAAUGCCGGGUGUGUGAAGAAGGCCUUCGGGUUGUAAAGCAUUUUCAGCGGGGAGGCGUUACCCGAAGAAGAAGCAACGGCUAACUCCGUGCCAGCAGCCGCGGUAAUAC